AUGAAUAGGCCAGAGCAGGUACCAGUCGUUCACAAAAAACAUCUACAAUCAGACCCUUGCAUCACACACUCAAUGGCUGGCCUGAAGAACAAGGCAAUCAUGGGAAGUGAGAAAAGCAUGGCACUGUGCUUGAGAGGGGGUGCGAGGAAGAGGGAAAGGGGAAACACUUCCAGGGAGAACCACCUACGUGGGACGGAAGGUCUGGGCACCAGGUUAGUGCAUGAGUGGCCUAAGCUCACCACAUGGAUCAAGACCGGUGAGGAUGGGGUGGAGAUGGUUGUGCCAUACCCAUCGGCCGACGAUGUCGUGGUCCUAGAUCUCACCCAGGCCAACCUGGCGAUGAAGAUGCGCUGGACGGCAGUGGGGUGCUUUGCGUCGGUCCUUCCAUACAACACCGAGGGCUUGCUCAAUGAGCUGAAGAACAAGUGGAGGCUCUAG
rnacentral:rRNA from 1 species